AUUGAACGCUGGCGGCAGGCCUAACACAUGCAAGUCGAACGAGUGGCGGACGGGUGAGUAAUGUCUGGGAAAUUGCCCGCUGGAGGUGGGUAACUACUGGAAACGGUAGCUAAUACCUCAUAUCAUCGGAUGUGCCUAGAGGGGAUUAGCUAGUAGGUGGGGUAACGGCUCACCUAGGCGACGAGCCCUAGCUGGUCUGAGAGGAUGACAAGCCACACUGGCACAGAGACACGGUCACAACGCCCACGGGAGGCAGCGGGGGGGAAUAGUGCACAAUGGGCGCAAGCCUGAUGCAGCCAUGCCGCGUGUAUGAGGAAGGCCUUAGGGUUGUAAGGUACUUUCAGCGAGGAGGCGUUACUCGCAGAAGAAGCACCGGCUAACUCCGUGCCAGCAGCCGCGGUAAUAC
rnacentral:rRNA from 1 species